rnacentral:rRNA from 1 species
GUGCCAGCCGCCGCGGUAAUACGUAGGUCCCGAGCGUUAUCCGGAUUUAUUGGGCGUAAAGCGAGCGCAGGCGGUUAGAUAAGUCUGAAGUUAAAGGCUGUGGCUUAACCAUAGUACGCUUUGGAAACUGUUUAACUUGAGUGCAGAAGGGGAGAGUGGAAUUCCAUGUGUAGCGGUGAAACGCGUAGAUAUAUGGAGGAACACCGGUGGCGAAAGCGGCUCUCUGGUCUGUAACUGACGCUGAGGCUCGAAAGCGUGGGGAGCAAACAGGAUUAGAUA